UNCUGCGUAUUUGAGAGACAGGUUCCUUUCCUGCUUGAAAAGGUUACAACCGUAAAGGCUUCUUCCUUCACGCGGCAUGGCUGGAUCAGGGUUGCCCCCAUUGUCCAAAAUUCCCCACUGCUGCCUCCCGUAGG
rnacentral:rRNA from 1 species